GCUUCUAUUUUGUCCAUAGCGUAACAAGGACAUUUUCUAAACAAGUAAUAUCACUUAACAUCCUAAAACACCCGAUUCCAGGAAAAAAGUGGAUUUGCCUUGGAAAUAAGACGUCACAUCAUUUAUGACCACCCUGUUAAAUAUGCUUUUACGGUCUUCAGCAGUGAUUCAAUUUGACCAUAUGGACGUUUCUCUCUGAGUGUGUCCUCCAUCUGAGUUUUGGCAGGAUAGAGUUGUUGUGUCAUCUUUCUCCUCCUUCUCCAUCCUUCCCUCCCUGCAUUUACAGCUCUCCGCCCAUCAGAGUAUUGGCAGAGUGUGGCGCACGGCGCACGGCGUGGACUUGGAGAUGUCUUGGCAGCAUUACGCACACGAUAAACACGAAAGUCUCCCGCAGAUGGACGGGACACUUUGAAGCCGAAAAGGACUGGCAAUCAACUUUUAAUUCUGAACCCACUUCUUUCGCAGCACUCCUCAAGACGUUUUCUUAUCUUUUUCCUGUCUGUGGAUGAGACUCAGACCUCCCUUUCGCAGCAGCAGCAGCAGCAGCAGCAGCUCUGGGUCUGGAUGACUUCUCCUUUUAUCGUUGGGUCACGGUCACUAUAGAAGAAUGGGAACGAUAUAAACAGCUCGAGGCGAAAACAAACUGCAGCAGAGCAACAGCCUUUUUUAGAGACAACAAAAAGAGAGGAUGAUCCCACCGGCCAACAUGAUCCAGAAUGAAAGUGGGGGCAAAGAGGACGAACGGGACCAGAAUGAGACACCCAAAUCCCCGACGGCGAACGCCAGCCAGCAGGAAACCAAGAAUACUGUGAAGCCUGAACAUCACAAGCGCAAGCUCCAGAGACUCAAGCGCUCUUUGUCCUUCAAGACCAAGAGUAUCCGCAGCAAAAGCGCGGACAACUUCUUCCGAACCAGCAGCGACAACAAGACGGAGCUGCUCUCCGAUGUGAGCAGCAGCACAGGCCAUCUCUGCAACAUCGGGAUGGCGCCGCCGCACACCACCAACCUCCCCAUCCCUCCGGUCCCUCCAGCCAUCCCCUGCGCUCCUCCUCCCACAUCACGCUCCCAGUCACGCAACCCGCUGCAGGUAGACUCAGCAGGACACUGCUUCAUGGAGCACAUCUUCAAGAAGCCCACGUUCUGCGAUGUCUGCAACCACAUGAUCGUAGGCACAACAGCCAAGCAUGUUGUGUUUCUGGCGGGAAACACAGCCAAGCACGGCCUGCGCUGCAAAGCCUGCAAGAUGAGCCUCCACCACAAGUGUGAGAAUGGAGUGGGACAGCAGCGCUGCAUGGGCAAACUGCCAAAAGGCUUUCGGCGGUACUACAGCUCUCCAUUACUGAUCCAGGAACAGUAUGGCUGCAUUAAAGAAGUCAUGCCCAUCGCCUGUGGCAAUAAGGUAGACCCUGUGUAUGAGGCCUUGAGGUUUGGGACAUCACUGGCACAGAAGGCCAAGAGGGCCAGCGGCUCCGAGUCUCCACACGGAAACUCAACCAGUGACUUGGAUAAAGUUCCAGAGGAAGUGGUGGCGCACAGCAGCAGACAGGAGCUGUCGCGAAAACACAGCGAUGACGUCUUCACAGUUAUGGAGAACGGGACGGAGCACUACCAUCAGCCAGACAGAAAACCCGACAAUUUGCUGUUGGAGCAGAGCCAGCUACAGAGAGACGUCCUGAAGCUCAACACCUACGUGGCCUUGCACAACUUCUCUCCCCAAGAGAGCCAUGACCUGGAGAUGAGAGCCGGAGACAGAAUCUUAUUGGCUGAUGACUCCAAUGAUGACUGGUGGAAGGGUGUUAUUGAUGACAGGAUUGGUUUCUUCCCAGCAGCCUUUGCUCAUCUGGUGCGGGCUGGGGACCGAGUGUACAGGUGUAACAGGACAUUCAUCGGCUGUAAGGAACAAGGCCAGAUCACCCUGAAGGAAGGACAGGGCAUGUCGGGACUUGGAGAAGGCUUAAAGCAAGCAACCCCCAGUGGAGGUGAAACCACCGAAUACAUGAUGACUCUAUGACCUGCUGCCUCUCUUUUCCAGUCACACAAACCCAGGGGAAGAUGUUGUAGAAUACUCAGAGCAAACUUGCAAACACAAUCUGUGUGAGCAGUGAGGGCGAACGCAGUGGCUUCAUCAGAGUGGCGAGUGGAAAGAAGAGAGGCUUUGUGCCCUGUGAUGUCCUGGAAAUCAUCUGAGACAAAUACUCAGAGAAGUGAAGAGAGCUGGAGGGGGAGGGGGGGGAGGAGAUCAGCCACCUGGAGGUCAGAAGAGGGAAUGGCCACGAGAAACCAGUGAGGGAGUUCACCUCAUCAGAAAAUUGGAGUUUGGACUUAAAGUGAUGGUCGUUUUGUCAAUGAGGACUCCACUUUGUUGCAGGUCAGAGUCUCUGUACUGUCCUCACUCGCUUCACAGGGAGACAAGAGAUCUCUGUUUCACUGGAUUUCAUGUGUAUGUCUUUUUUUCCCCCUUUUAGUUUUAUUUUGCACUGAGCUGUUUAUUUUUUGAAAGUGGAACUGGCGGCUGGUUGUUUAAGCCAAAGAAAAUAAAACAAACACUUACUACAGUUAUCAUUUUUCUAGGUUUCAGUACAUACAGUGUCAUAGUUUAGUUUCUCAUGCUUUUACAUUAUCUUCCCAGCAAAUGGUGAGCUUUUAAAGCAAAGUAGUCAGCAACAAACUCUGAAGUGUCUGAUUAUUUUGGAUGACAAAAUUCCUAAUUUCAGAAGGCGAGAGAAAACAACACAUAUGAUAUAAUAAGGACAUUUACUUUCUUUGAAGCCUCAAAUCUCCCUUAAUAUCCUUCUGUAUAACCUCUGGCGUACAGUUACAGUCCCGUGAUGAAACAGGUGAGAAAAAGUGGAUACAACAAAGAGAUGUGGGCGAGUAUUUUCAGAGGAGUUUGACACAAUCAAAGACUUAAGAAAUUCUCAGUGGUCCUCCAGGAAUAUCACCAUCACACUCCUGAGGUUUAUUAAGUGUCUUGCUCAUUACUAACCAGGAUUUUACUUGAUGAUGACAUUAAUACACAGUAUUAGAGUCAAUAACUAUUAAAAUACAUGUUUCAAUGGACAAAAAACUUGUUAUUUACCAUGUUUAACAUUUUGCAUUGUCUCCAUGUUGCAGAAUCUGUUAGGUUUAUCUUUUAAGGCUGGAAAAGUUUUUUGUUGAUCUAUUAAUCAGUUAAAUUUUCUCUCUUUUCAGUUGUUUUCAUUAAAAGAUUUCAUGACUUUGUCACUAUAAAACAGAAGUGAAUGAGAAGGUACAGCUGCAAUAUAAUCAGGACAUUAACGAUUUGAUGGUCAGAGCAAAUGUGAUCUGCUGGGGAUGUGAACACAUGAUGGCGCCUGCGAAAAUGAUACAUUUCUAGUUAGCAUGUUAACUUUAAAUGUGAUCACUCUCGUGUGGUUUUCUUCGUUUCUGAAGAGCAUCUCGUUCAGAUUCUUGUCAUGUGCAUUUAUGGAAAGGUGUUGCAUCAAAGUAGAUAUAGUAUAUCUCUCAAAGGUUGUUCUGCACUGAAACUUGGCUUUAUUGAAUAUCCAAGAAUUCUAUAUUGUAUAUACUGUACAUGAAAGAUUAAAAUUUCUUCUUUAUCACAAGAAGGAAAAGUGUUACGUUGUUAUGAUGACAACACG